CUUGUUCCACCUCCGUGGAACACAAAAUUGAAACAUUUUAGGACAAAAAUGCCCCUCAUCUUUUUCAAUAUUUACCAUCCAAAUCAUAAAACAAACCCCAACCAUUCUCUGCCGCUACCUCUCUUCCCGUAGCCUUCCUCCUCAUCCUCAUCCUCUUCCGUAGCCGCCGACUACACCUAGCUCGCACGGAGCCACUACUGUCGCUAGAUCGUCUCAGCGAGACCCCCCGAAUACCAGCGGACUAGUAAGACCGUCAUCUCUCACGUCAUCCUGCUCUGCUCCAUAAGCUUGCCGGACCAUUCCACGACCAACGCUGCGUCCUCAUAAGUCUCUCAGGGCUUCCUCUUCCCCUUCCUCUUCUUCAUUUUCUUUGAUUUUGUUUUGAGAUUCGUGAAAUUAUUAGUGGGUUUUGAAUGAUUUCUGGUUGUGAUCGAUUUCUGGGUUUAAUCGAUUAUGGGUUUUGAUUUACUUUUGGGAUUUUUGCAUUCUGAUUUAUUUCUAGGUUUUGAUUGAUUUAUGGGUUUUAAUUUGAUCCACAAAUCAGUCAUAUUGUUUUAGGAGAAUGUUUGAUCUUGCAGAGAAUAAUCGUCUUCCUCUGAGAAAAUUGUUCUGUGCAUGUCAUUCGAGAGGCCCUGUUGUUAUUCCUAACAUCGACCUUGUCGAUUAUGCCUAUCAAUUCGAAAAUAGAAAAUAUGUGCUCUUGCAGAUUGCAACAUUUUGGUUAUCAUUUUCACUUCCAGAUGCUACCCUCACCAGUGUAAAGUAAUCUCAUUCUAUGAUAGGUGGUCUAUACCAUUCAUCAAGUUUUGGCGACUUGAAACUUUUCACUCGAGCUUCCAGCGCAUGUAAAUGGCCAUGCCUGUUUUGCAAAUGUGAUUUAAACUGAUUAAGUUGUCGUUUAGGAGGGACAGUUUAUCCCCGCCACUGUGAAGGAAGGAGACAGUGUUCUGCAGCCAAAAUAUGAAGGAACUGAAGUGAAGCUUUGUGACAAAAAGUACGUAUCUCACAAGGCCUUAUUGCUAGUUUUCUUAGAUGUGCAAUAUUUUAAGCUGCUUUUAAUUAUGUAUAAACUUCUGAAAGAUUUCUGUCAUGAUUCUAAUAGUUUUUGGGGCCUAUUUACUAAACCAUUGCUGACCUGAAUUCAAUCGAGAGAUACAAUGGAAGCUGAAACUCACUUACUUAAGCACUGGGACUUUUGUUUUAUAAAUUGACUUCACAUCACGUAGAUAAAAUAUUCAUAUGGAAGAACUGUGUAGAAAACUAGAUCUUAGAUUUUGUGCUGAUGAUCUCCCUUCCAUACGUGAUUCAGUGACUUGAAGUAUUACUGAAUAAUACGGCUGAGAUGCUUUCCAUUUCAUGAUUUUGCGCAUAUAUGUUUUAUGAAUUUUUCCAUGAUAUAUGGAUACAAUACGUAGUGAAAUGUUACCUGUUUCUCUUACACGAAUGACUGUCCAUGGGGUUUGUAUGUAUGUGUCUUAUUUGUAUCGCUCUCUAUAAACAGGUGUGCUUUUGUCCAUUGUAUGUGUCUUAGUACUAGGAUUACAAUUUGGCGAAUUGACUCAAGUAGGCAUCUUUGCAGUAAAGCAGAGGUGUGCUUUAGUUAGCAUGUGUAUUUGGAUUUCUGUAUGUGACACUGAACAACAUUUGAGAAUGCAUACUAUGUUAUGUAUGUUACAAGAACUUGUGAAACUAGUCAGGAUUGAGAAAUAGAUGCAGUUUUGAGAACAUUUACUUUUGUAUUAUUUCUUUCGACAUUCACUUCCUUUGUCCGAUUAGGUGCUCAUUAUUUUAUUUUAUUUUAGUUUUUUGUUUUUUUUUUGCUGUUUUAGGUAGCAUCUAUAUCGAGAUGAGGAUAUACUGGGAACACUGCACGACUGAUGUAUUGUUUGACCUAUGAUCGUGUUAAUUUUGUUCAUGAUUUAUCCUAGUGGAUUUAAGUUCCAUAGCAUGAAGUCGAUCUUUGUCAAUGCCCUACUAUUUAAAUUUGUUAUGUGCUUAUAUAUUAGAUGAAGGAGAACGUGUAAAACUGUUCUGCUAUUGGGCAAAUAAUUUGAAUGCAACUAAGACGUCUUUAAUA